GUCCUCUCCGCCCCCGGCAUUUUCCUCUGCCCUCUCGGAUCUCCGGGACUCUCUCAGGGGAGAAAUCUGUGUCCAACGACGUCAUCUGGCGCUGCUGCUGCUGGUUUUCAGUCCCGUCCGGCUCUUGGUGACACUCUUUGGGAUUGUCUUGGCAAGGAGCGUCCUGCACUUUCCUUCUGCGGCUCCUUGGAGCCAGGCGGGGGUGAGUGACUUGACCAGGACCCACAGCCGGUAAAGGUCCGAGACCCGAUUUAAAAGUCAGGAACUCGAAACGACCUGACUCCAGUCCUGGCACUCGGCGCGCUUUGGCGCCACCUCGUGGCCCCGGUGUGUUAUGUAUGGCAUGAGAUUAAAUGCCCGCAGAAAACAGAUUGGGGUCCAUUACCACUGAUUUAAGGGCGGGCGGCCAGGGACGUUUCCCGGACCUCACGAUCUGCCGGGAAAUCUGCCUUGCGAGGCCCUGGGCUCCCUUUCUCCUGCCAGGAACAAAGAUUUCGGGGGGCUGGCUUUAGAAUAUCCCCGUGCGGAAGCCCUGGUACCCCGGGGAGACUUGGGCACUCGCCUCCCUCCUGAAAGCCCCAGAUCUGCUUUCGCCGCCCGUUCUAGGCUGAGGAGGCAGCAGCAGCAAGAUGCGCUUUUUUUUGUCCAUCCGCCCCUUCUCCUUAAUCUAAGUAAGAGAAAGCUUUUGAAAAGCCACAGAAAAAGGGGAGAAGAGAAGAGCUGAGAGGAAGAGGAAGAGGAAACUUUGAGAGAGUUUGGCUUGGCGCCUCGGGACACAGGGCUUCCUAGGUCAGUAAGGAAAAGCUGAAGUGAAAGUUGAGGCACCAUCCCCUCUCAUCCCAGGAUUAAAGAUGCUUACACUAAUACCUUUUAUUUAAAAGAAAAAAAAACAACCAUGAACUGGCAAAGAAGAAAGAACCUCACUAUAGAAACUUACUAUGGGAACAGGGAAGACCCAGAGUUCAUCUUCACAUGAGGACAUUGAAAUGAAAAAAAGCUUUUAUCCCAAAGAGUAACAUGAAUUUAUAGAAGAGAGAGAAUUUAUAGAACUCAAACAAGAAUUUAAAAAUUAAUUGAGAGUCAUUGAGUUAAAAACUAAAAAAAUAAAAAAUAAAAACCAUCCAAGAAACACAAUAAGAUUACGAAGAAAAUUAGCCAACUAGAAAACGAGAAACAGAAUCCCAAAGAUGAAAUUAAGUUUUUAAAAAUUAGAAUUGGACAAGAGGAAGCCAGUGAAGUAAUGAGAGACCAAGAAAUAACAAAACAUUAUAAGGAAAGAAAAAAUAGAAUAGAAUGUGAAAUAUAAGAAAAACAACAGAUCUGGAGAACAGAUCAAAAAGAGAAAAUAUAAGACUAAUUGGACUGCCUGAAAGUUGUGACCAAAAAAAUAAUCUUGACACAAUAAUACAAGAAACAAUUCAAGAAAAUUGUCCUGGAGUAAUAGAACAUGAGGGGAAAGGAGAAAAAGAAAAACUUCUACUGGUUACCCCCUCAAUGUGAUCCCUUGUGAAAAAUAUAUAGAAAUAUUAUUGUCAAAUUUUGAAACCCCCACAUGAAAGAGAAAAUUUUACAGGAAAACAAGGAAAAACCAAUUAAAAUAUACUGAAACUACAAUUAGAAUUAUACAGGAACUACUACAUUAAAAGACUGCAGAUCAUGAAAUCUUAUCUACUGACAAUCAAAAUAAUUCAGCCUAUGGCCAAAAAUGUUAUAUACAGCAAGAUUACAAUAUUUAAUGAGAAAAAAUGGAUAUUCAAUGAAUUUCCAAAUUCUCAGGAUUCAAAUGUAAUAGAAAAUUUAACAUAUAAAAACCAAUAAUCAAAGAUCAGUUUUAAGGAGCUCAAAAUAGACAAACUUUUUUUUUUGUUUUUUUUUUUUAACAUGGGAAAUGUAUAGCAUAUGUUUAAGAGUGACAUCAACAAUAGAGUAGCUCAAAAGAAAGAUUGGGGCAGGAUUAAGGUAAAAAUAGCAAAUCAUGUUUUACAAAUGAGCUGCAGAGGAAGAAUAGACAAAGAGACAUUAGCAGGGAGAGGAGGGUUUAUAGUUGUGAAAACCUACUUACAUCGGGAAAUGGUUAAAUAGACAAUACCACAUAUAUACUAUAAAAGAUAUAGCACCCUCCAAAAUUUAUAAAGAAAUAAGGGGGGGAGGGAUGAGCGGAUGGAGAAGCAAAGGGUAAGGGAAAACAAGGGAGAAAACCAUGGGUAGGGGAAGUUUAAGUAAUAGCAAGGCAAAUUAAGGAGUAGAAUUAAAGCAGAGUCAGUAGGGACAGAAAUGAUAAGUGUGUAUGUAUGUGUAUGUGUAUAUCUACAUAUAACUACAUGAAUAUAUCCUUUCUUAACUGUAGUCUGCUUGGGGGUGAUGGGGGAAUGAAAGGGCACAAAAAAGAAUAAAGCUUAAAAAGGUGAGCAGCAUAGAACCAAAGAAUAAUUUAUAAGGAAACAAAGAAAAGAUGGACAUUCAUGAAGAUAAUUUCUUCUACUAAUAUAUAUAUAUAUAUAUAU